rnacentral:rRNA from 1 species
CUGGCUCAGAAUCAACGCUGGCGGCGUGCCUAACACAUGCAAGUCGAACGCGAAAGUGGAGCAAUCCAUGAGUAGAGUGGCAAACGGGUGAGUAACACGUGGGUGACCUGCCUUCGAGUGGGGGAUAACGUUCCGAAAGGAGCGCUAAUACCGCAUGACAUUCCGCGGUUGGAGACGUGGAAAUCAAAGCCGGGGAUCGCAAGACCUGGCGCUCGAAGAGGGGCCCGCGGCCGAUUAGCUAGUUGGUGAGGUAACGGCUCACCAAGGCGACGAUCGGUAUCCGGCCUGAGAGGGCGGACGGACACACUGGGACUGAGACACGGCCCAGACCCCUACGGGAGGCAGCAGUGGGGAAUUGUUCGCAAUGGGCGCAAGCCUGACGACGCAACGCCGCGUGGAGGACGAAGAUCUUCGGGUCGUAAACUCCUUUCGAUCGGGAAAAACGCCUUCGGGGCUAACAUCCUCGAAGGGUGAUGGUACCGAGAGAAGAAGCCCCGGCUAACUCCGUGCCAGCAGCCGCGGUAAUACGGGGGGGGCAAGCGUUGUUCGGAAUUACUGGGCGUAAAGGGCCAGUAGGCGGCAAACUAAGUCACACGUGAAAUCCCCAGGCUUAACCUGGGAACUGCGUGUGAUACUGGAUGGCUUGAAUUCGGGAGAGGGAUGCAGAAUUCCAGGUGUAGCGGUGAAAUGCGUAGAUAUCUGGAGGAAUACCGGUGGCGAAGGCGGCAUCCUGGACCGACAUUGACGCUGGACGGCGAAAGCUAGGGGAGCAAACGGGAUUAGAUACCCCGGUAGUCCUAGCCCU